UGGCUCAGUGGUAGAGCAUCGGUUUGGUAUGCCGAAUGUUUAUGGUUCAAAUCCCACA
rnacentral:tRNA from 1 species